GCUGGGCACAGUGGUGCAUGCCUGUAAUCUCAGAGGCUCUGGAGGCUGAGUCAGGAGGAUUACCAGUCUCAGCAAAAGCAAGGUACUAAGCAACUCAGUGAGAUCCUGUCUCUA
rnacentral:sRNA from 1 species